UACGGAGGGGGCAAGCGUUGUUCGGAAUUACUGGGCGUAAAGGGCUCGUAGGCGGCCAACUAAGUCAGACGUGAAAUCCCUCGGCUUAACCGGGGAACUGCAUCUGAUACUGGAUGGCUUGAGUUCGGGAGAGGGAUGCGGAAUUCCUGGUGUAGCGGUGAAAUGCGCAGAUAUCAGGAAGAACACCAAUGGCGAAGGCAGCUCUCUGGGACGGUACUGACGCUGAGACGCGAAAGCGUGGGGAGCAAACAGG
rnacentral:rRNA from 1 species